rnacentral:rRNA from 1 species
UACGUAGGGUGCAAGCGUUGUCCGGAAUUAUUGGGCGUAAAGAGCUCGUAGGCGGUUUGUUGCGUCGGCUGUGAAAUCCCGAGGCUCAACCUCGGGUCUGCAGUCGAUACGAGCAAACUAGAGUGUUGGCAGGGGAGACUGGGAAUUCCUGGUGAUAGCGGUGAAAUGCGCAGAUAUCAGGAGGGAACACCGGUGGCGAAGGCGGGUCUCUGGGCAACAACUGACGCUGGAGGAGCGAAAGCCGUGGGGAGCGAACAGG